rnacentral:misc_RNA from 1 species
AGGUGAACCUGCGGAAGGAUCAUUACAGAGUUCAUGCCCUUCGGGGUAGACCUCCCACCCUUUGUAUACCUUGCCUUUGUUGCUUUGGCGGGCCGCCUUUUGGCCACCGGCUCCGGCUGGUGCGCGCCCGCCAGAGAACCCCAAACCCUGUCUUACAGUGUCGUCCGAGUACUAUAUAAUAUUUAAAACUUUCAACAACGGAUCUCUUGGUUCUGG